UUGCUCGCUUCGGCAGCACAUGUACUAAAAUUGAAACGAUGUAGAGAAGAUUAGCAUGGCCUCUGUGCAAGGCUGACAUGCAAAUUUGUGAAGCGUUCCAUGAUUUU
rnacentral:snRNA from 1 species